GGAAAGUCCUUAGUACUCCAUCUCUGGUCUAGGCCCAGAAAAACAACAAAAGAGCAGAGAGAUGUUCAGUUAUUUGAGAUCAAGGAGCACUCCUUUUGGGCCAUCUGGAAAGCAUAUAACAUACAAAUUAUCUUUAACUGCACUUGGAGAAAAUAGCGAGGGAGGGAAGAAAUUCCCUCUCCUCCUUUGCUGUGCCUCUGGAAGAAGAUACAAGGGAAAAGGCAAAAAGAGAGUUUUGGAGUGAAUCAACCUGUCAGCUUGUUUUUAUGGACCUUAGAAAGCAGAAUUGAAAGUGAAGGGGAUACAUAUCCACUGGGCAUCCAUGGGCAUGUGAGUUUAAUGACAUAUUGCCAUGUUAGAAGAAAUAACAAACACAAAAACUUCGGAAAGACCCAGGAGGACUUGCCAAAAUAGAUGCAGAGUGAGGACUGUAGCAUUUGUAUUUGGACUGAUUCCUCGGAGAUGAGGGAGACUCCUAAAUUUGUUGGCAAAUAAUUGGGAAACAGAGAUUUAUUAUAGCUAUUCAUGAUCACAGACUGCCUUUACGGACCUACUCUUCUGCUAAAGGAGCAGCUAUGUGAAUGGGAACUCCAGAAAGCCAUGAGAUUUGUUUGGACAUCACUGAGCUCCACCAGACCCACUUUGGGAUGUUUCCAUCCCCUGAAAAGCUUUGUGUUGAGAAGGGUAAGGAAAUAACUAUGGCGCAAAAAAGUGAAAAGCCUCAAUAAAAUAAGCCCCAAACCACACAGCUCUGUUGUAACAUCCCAUAAGUACAUCUGGUGGACUUAUCUAUUAUUCCUUGAUGCUGAUGUCUCUGCUAUUUCUCAAAUCUAUCUAUUUCCCAAAGACUAUGGAUUAGUUUAAAAAUAGUAAAUGGAUGAAAUUCUACAGCAUUACAGAAUCCGAGGUGGAAGAGAUCUCAGAAGUGAUCUGGGCUAAAAAAAAAAAAAAAAAAUCCCUGCUAAGACUAUCCUUGCAACUUGUGGUAAUCUUUUCUUCCCCUGGAGAAUCUCCAGGACUGGAGGUCUGGUGACCACAGCACUUUGGGACAGCACUAAUGGAUUUUACCUUAAUCCUUUACAAUGCUCUCUUGAGGCAAGUCAGUUUUAUGAGCAUCAUGGAAACAUCCUAAUCUAAAGAGCUAAAGUAGGUGGAGCCUAAGUGGGAUCAGAUGAGGUCUGUGAGUUUGGAAAUUCUUGGCUUAGGGUCUCUCUGUGCAACAGCUUGAGUACAGACCAUCUGCUGUUUUAGAUCAUAUCAUAUCACCAUAUCAUGUAUUAUAUUGUGUCACA
rnacentral:lncRNA from 1 species